AAAGCCCGCUCGCCGGAAGACCAAGGGUUCCUGUCCAACGUUAAUCGGGGCAGGGUGAGUCGACCCCUAAGGCGAGGCCGAAAGGCGUAGUCGAUGGGAAACAGGUUAAUAUUCCUGUACUUGGUGUUACUGCGAAGGGGGGACGGAGAAGGCUAUGUUGGCCGGGCGACGGUUGUCCCGGUUUAAGCGUGUAGGCUGGUUUUCCAGGCAAAUCCGGAAAAUCAAGGCUGAGGCGUGAUGACGAGGCACUACGGUGCUGAAGCAACAAAUGCCCUGCUUCCAGGAAAAGCCUCUAAGCAUCAGGUAACAUCAAAUCGUACCCCAAACCGACACAGGUGGUCAGGUAGAGAAUACCAAGGCGCUUGAGAGAACUCGGGUGAAGGAACUAGGCAAAAUGGUGCCGUAACUUCGGGAGAA
rnacentral:rRNA from 1 species